GCCGCCUUAGCUCAGUUGGUUAGAGCGCUGGUUUGUGGAACCAGAGGUCCCCCGUUCAAGCCGGGGAGGCGGUA
rfam:Octadecabacter antarcticus 307, complete genome.